GCAGACACAUUCCAGCCAAUCAGCAGCAGACUCUCCCUCCCAAACCCUCCCACCUCCUGGACAGCAUCCAUUGUGAAGCUGCAUUCUUAGUGAGCUGUCCAGGAGGUGGGAGGGUCUGGGAGGGAGGGUCUGCUGCUGAUUGGCUGGAAUGUGUCAG